rnacentral:rRNA from 1 species
AGCAGCCGCGGUAAUUCCAGCUCCAAUAGCGUAUAUUAAAGUUGUUGCAGUUAAAAAGCUCGUAGUUGAAUUUCGGGAUCGACGGGUCGGUCGCGCCUCCGGUGUGUACUGGCUCUGUCGGUUUCUCCCUUCUGACGAACCACGAUGUCAUUAAUUUGAUGUCGUGGGAAAUCAGGACUGUUACUUUGAAAAAAUUAGAGUGUUUAAAGCAGGCAUUCGCUUGAAUACAUUAGCAUGGAAUAAUGAAAUAGGACGUUUUGAUCUUAUUUUGUUGGUUUCUAAGAUCGACGUAAUGAUUAAUAGGGAUAGUUGGGGGCAUUAGUAUUCAAUUGUCAGAGGUGAAAUUCUUGGAUUUAUUGAAGACUAACUACUGCGAAAGCAUUUGCCAAGGAUGUUUUCAUUAAUCAAGAACGAAAGUUAGGGGAUCGAAGACGAUCAGAUACCGUCGUAGUCUUAACCAUAAACUAUGCCGACUAGGGAUCGGAUGAUGUUUAAUUUUUAAUGACUCAUUCGGCGUCCG